rnacentral:rRNA from 1 species
UACGUAGGGUGCAAGCGUUGUCCGGAAUUUAUUGGGCGUAAAGAGCUCGUAGGCGGUCUGUCGCGUCGGCUGUGAAAACCCGGAGCUCAACUCCGGGCCUGCAGUCGAUACGGGCAGACUGGAGUUCGGCAGGGGAGGCUGGAAUUCCUGGUGUAGCGGUGAAAUGCGCAGAUAUCAGGAGGACACCGGUGGCGAAGGCGGGUCUCUGGGCCACUACUGACGCUGAGAAGCGAAAGCAUGGGGGAGC